CCUACGGGUGGCAGCAGUUAGGAAUAUUGGUCAAUGGACGAGAGUCUGAACCAGCCAAGUAGCGUGAAGGAUGACUGCCCUAUGGGUUGUAAACUUCUUUUAUAUGGGAAUAAAGUGAUCCACGUGUGGGAUUUUGUAUGUACCAUAUGAAUAAGGAUCGGCUAACUCCGUGCCAGCAGCCGCGGUAAUACGGAGGAUCCGAGCGUUAUCCGGAUUUAUUGGGUUUAAAGGGAGCGUAGGUGGAUUGUUAAGUCAGUUGUGAAAGUUUGCGGCUCAACCGUAAAAUUGCAGUUGAUACUGGCAGUCUUGAGUACAGUAGAGGUGGGCGGAAGUCGUGGUGUAGCGGUGAAAUGCUUAGAUAUCACGAAGAACUCCGAUUGCGAAGGCAGUUCACUGGACUGCAACUGACACUGAGGCUCGAAAGUGUGGGUAUCAAACAGGAUUAGAUACCCUAGUAGUC
rnacentral:rRNA from 1 species